CCUACGGGGCAGCAGUAAGGAAUAUUGGUCAAUGGAGGCAACUCUGAACCAGCCAUGCCGCGUGCAGGAAGACUGCCCUAUGGGUUGUAAACUGCUUUUAUACGGGAAUAAACCUUGAUUCGUGAAUCGAGCUGAAUGUACCGUAAGAAUAAGGAUCGGCUAACUCCGUGCCAGCAGCCGCGGUAAUACGGAGGAUCCAAGCGUUAUCCGGAUUUAUUGGGUUUAAAGGGAGCGUAGGCGGCCUAUUAAGUCAGGGGUGAAAGACGGUGGCUCAACCAUCGCAGUGCCUUUGAUACUGGUAGGCUUGAAUGUAGUUGAGGUAGGCGGAAUGUGACAAGUAGCGGUGAAAUGCAUAGAUAUGUCACAGAACACCGAUUGCGAAGGCAGCUUACUAAGCUAUGAUUGACGCUGAGGCUCGAAAGCGUGGGGAUCAAACAGGAUUAGAUACCCUGGUAGCCCACGCCCUAAACCGAUGAUAACUCGAUGUUGGCGAUAUACAGUCAGCGUCCAAGCGAAAGCGUUAAGUUAUCCACCUGGGGAGUACGCCCGCAAGGGUGAACGUCAAGGAAUUGACGGCGNGAGACGAGCGACGGACGACGACGAGGGAGGAGG
rnacentral:rRNA from 1 species